rnacentral:rRNA from 1 species
GAUGAACGCUGGCGGCGUGCCUAAUACAUGCAAGUCGAGCGAACGGAUGAGAAGCUUGCUCCUCUGAUGUUAGCGGCGGACGGGUGAGUAACACGUGGAUAACCUACCUAUAAGACUGGGAUAACUUCGGGAAACCGGAGCUAAUACCGGAUAAUAUUUUGAACCGCAUGGUUCAAUAGUGAAAGACGGUCUUGCUGUCACUUAUAGAUGGAUCCGCGCUGCAUUAGCUAGUUGGUAAGGUAACGGCUUACCAAGGCAACGAUGCAUAGCCGACCUGAGAGGGUGAUCGGCCACACUGGAACUGAGACACGGUCCAGACUCCUACGGGAGGCAGCAGUAGGGAAUCUUCCGCAAUGGGCGAAAGCCUGACGGAGCAACGCCGCGUGAGUGAUGAAGGUCUUCGGAUCGUAAAACUCUGUUAUUAGGGAAGAACAAAUGUGUAAGUAACUAUGCACGUCUUGACGGUACCUAAUCAGAAAGCCACGGCUAACUACGUG